UUAAGCGACUAAGCGUACACGGUGGAUGCCCUGGCAGUCAGAGGCGAUGAAGGACGUGCUAAUCUGCGAUAAGCGUCGGUAAGGUGAUAUGAACCGUUAUAACCGGCGAUUUCCGAAUGGGGAAACCCAGUGUGUUUCGACACACUAUCAUUAACUGAAUCCAUAGGUUAAUGAGGCGAACCGGGGGAACUGAAACAUCUAAGUACCCCGAGGAAAAGAAAUCAACCGAGAUUCCCCCAGUAGCGGCGAGCGAACGGGGAGCAGCCCAGAGCCUGAAUCAGUGUGUGUGUUAGUGGAAGCGUCUGGAAAGGCGCGCGAUACAGGGUGACAGCCCCGUACACAAAAAUGCACAUACUGUGAGCUCGAUGAGUAGGGCGGGACACGUGGUAUCCUGUCUGAAUAUGGGGGGACCAUCCUCCAAGGCUAAAUACUCCUGACUGACCGAUAGUGAACCAGUACCGUGAGGGAAAGGCGAAAAGAACCCCGGCGAGGGGAGUGAAAAAGAACCUGAAACCGUGUACGUACAAGCAGUGGGAGCACGCUUAGGCGUGUGACUGCGUACCUUUUGUAUAAUGGGUCAGCGACUUAUAUUCUGUAGCAAGGUUAACCGAAUAGGGGAGCCGAAGGGAAACCGAGUCUUAACUGGGCGUUAAGUUGCAGGGUAUAGACCCGAAACCCGGUGAUCUAGCCAUGGGCAGGUUGAAGGUUGGGUAACACUAACUGGAGGACCGAACCGACUAAUGUUGAAAAAUUAGCGGAUGACUUGUGGCUGGGGGUGAAAGGCCAAUCAAACCGGGAGAUAGCUGGUUCUCCCCGAAAGCUAUUUAGGUAGCGCCUCGUGAAUUCAUCUCCGGGGGUAGAGCACUGUUUCGGCAAGGGGGUCAUCCCGACUUACCAACCCGAUGCAAACUGCGAAUACCGGAGAAUGUUAUCACGGGAGACACACGGCGGGUGCUAACGUCCGUCGUGAAGAGGGAAACAACCCAGACCGCCAGCUAAGGUCCCAAAGUCAUGGUUAAGUGGGAAACGAUGUGGGAAGGCCCAGACAGCCAGGAUGUUGGCUUAGAAGCAGCCAUCAUUUAAAGAAAGCGUAAUAGCUCACUGGUCGAGUCGGCCUGCGCGGAAGAUGUAACGGGGCUAAACCAUGCACCGAAGCUGCGGCAGCGACGCUGAUGCGUUGUUGGGUAGGGGAGCGUUCUGUAAGCCUGUGAAGGUGUGCUGUGAGGCAUGCUGGAGGUAUCAGAAGUGCGAAUGCUGACAUAAGUAACGAUAAAGCGGGUGAAAAGCCCGCUCGCCGGAAGACCAAGGGUUCCUGUCCAACGUUAAUCGGGGCAGGGUGAGUCGACCCCUAAGGCGAGGCCGAAAGGCGUAGUCGAUGGGAAACAGGUUAAUAUUCCUGUACUUGGUGUUACUGCGAAGGGGGGACGGAGAAGGCUAUGUUGGCCGGGCGACGGUUGUCCCGGUUUAAGCGUGUAGGCUGGUUUUCCAGGCAAAUCCGGAAAAUCAAGGCUGAGGCGUGAUGACGAGGCACUACGGUGCUGAAGCAACAAAUGCCCUGCUUCCAGGAAAAGCCUCUAAGCAUCAGGUAACAUCAAAUCGUACCCCAAACCGACACAGGUGGUCAGGUAGAGAAUACCAAGGCGCUUGAGAGAACUCGGGUGAAGGAACUAGGCAAAAUGGUGCCGUAACUUCGGGAGAAGGCACGCUGAUAUGUAGGUGAAGUCCCUCGCGGAUGGAGCUGAAAUCAGUCGAAGAUACCAGCUGGCUGCAACUGUUUAUUAAAAACACAGCACUGUGCAAACACGAAAGUGGACGUAUACGGUGUGACGCCUGCCCGGUGCCGGAAGGUUAAUUGAUGGGGUUAGCGCAAGCGAAGCUCUUGAUCGAAGCCCCGGUAAACGGCGGCCGUAACUAUAACGGUCCUAAGGUAGCGAAAUUCCUUGUCGGGUAAGUUCCGACCUGCACGAAUGGCGUAAUGAUGGCCAGGCUGUCUCCACCCGAGACUCAGUGAAAUUGAACUCGCUGUGAAGAUGCAGUGUACCCGCGGCAAGACGGAAAGACCCCGUGAACCUUUACUAUAGCUUGACACUGAACAUUGAGCCUUGAUGUGUAGGAUAGGUGGGAGGCUUUGAAGUGUGGACGCCAGUCUGCAUGGAGCCGACCUUGAAAUACCACCCUUUAAUGUUUGAUGUUCUAACGU
rnacentral:rRNA from 1 species